GUAACGUUGUUUUUCAGGCAUAACGGUUGUCAGUAUCUCUUUUUGUUUUACGCCGCACUCUACGCGUCACCCUUCAGGCUGCUUCAUGGUUGGCUGCACGCCAGGACAGCAUGAAGGACUCAGGUAUACGGUCCAGACUCCUACGGGAGGCAGCAGUGGGGAAUAUUGCACAAUGGGCGCAAGCCUGAUGCAGCCAUGCCGCGUGUAUGAAGAAGGCCUUCGGGUUGUAAAGUACUUUCAGCGGGGAGGAAGGU
rnacentral:rRNA from 1 species